rnacentral:tRNA from 1 species
GGAGAGAUGUCCGAGUCUGGCUUAAGGAGCACGAUUGGAACUCGUGUAGGCCGCUAUCGCGGUCUCGAGGGUUCGAAUCCCUCUCUCUCCGCCA